GAUUACACAGGGUGUGAACACCAAGAGGUAAGGACAUGGAGGCAUGGAGAGGGGAAGUAACUUGCCCAAGUCACAGGGCUGGCAACCCGGAUUUGAUUCCAGACAGCCUGGCUCAGUGCGUGUCACUUCUGCACUAGGCUGUCUCCCUCCCAUGGUGUCAACCUGUGGAUGAGGGGCUGGCCAGUCAUAGCCACAUAGAAAAGAGCCACCUGAAGGGCAGUGCCAUCUUCCUUUGUUCCAAAGAGGAAGCCCCGGUCCAGGAACAUGAGCAUCAGGUCUGCAGGACAUAGUCUCCUGUCGUGGAGAUAGUACCUCAGGUUGGUAUAGCUCAGUAACACCAGGACUCUCCAAGACUGCCCUGGUCCUGAGACUUCCGUGUCUAAAGAAGACACGCAUCCCAACCCCAGGUGGGGCUGGGGGUGGUAGUAGUAGUAUCAGUGAAUACCAGUAGCCAAUCUGCCUGGCAGUUCGGUUCCCAUCCAAUUUUCUCCAUCUGUCUCCCAAGUCUGGUCAGUGUGACUGUAGCCCUGAGAGACAGCCCCACUCUUAAUGCUGACAAAUCUGGUUUCUGAGUCCUAAAGCCGAAAGACCUGUGGCUAGGUCAAGUGUGCCUAAGUAACACCUCUCCAACGUGCCCCAGGCCAUGCUCACUGUCAGAUCGCAGCCACAGAGGGGGUUUCCAUUCAUCACACAGUAGGCACUGACACAGGCACUUUCCCAAACCUAAGUUUCUCUUCGGGCUGUCUGUGACAUCAUCGAUUUCACCAGAGAUUAUUCUUUUUCAAAGGACCCAGAAUCCAACUCUAUAGGACCAUCAUCCCUUUCUCCACCAAAAUCUUCCCAUAAGUCCCCAGGAAGCUCUUCUCUCUCUCUUUUUUUCCUCCAAAGUAACAGCAGCCAUUGUAGUGGUUAAAAGCUCCCUGGAGUCAGAGGGAUACAAGCUCAAGUUUCAACUCAGUUAAUUCCUAGUCAUGGGACCACUGUGCCUCAGUUUUCUCAUCUAUAAUACAGGAAUCAUAAUAUCUAGAGUAUGGGAAGUCUAGACUAUACUAUGGUAGAAAAUAAACCCUAAAGUCCCAGGGGAUGAAUAUAUCAAAAUUUAUUUCUCACCCAUGCAAAGUUAGGUGUGGAUCUUGGGGCCUCUCCCAGGUAGUUCCCUUCCAAAGUGGAGAGUUAGGGCAAGUCAGUUUGCGUCUUGCGGUUCCACUCUCUGAAAUAUGUGGCUUCUAGGUGGCCACUGCAGAGCAAGAGAAAGCUAGAGACAGUGCACUGGUUCUUAAAUGCUUCAGCCCAGAUGUGACACAUCUCAUUCAACUUGUGGUCCACUGUCCAGAGCUGGACAUAUGGCCUUGCUUGAGUCUAAAGUGGCAGCAUGAUGGGGAGGAACACAUGGUUAUGUUUGUAGUUACUGUAUCUGCCACAGAGAGUAACACAAGGUGCUUGAUACAUAAGCAGCAAUAAAGGUAACCAGAAUUAUUACUAUCCAAAAUAACCACCUGAAAAAUGAUUCCGACUUGAGGUUAGUGGAGCUUCAGGUAUGGGCUAGAUUCAUCAGUGGUGGGCAAGUUCCUGGGAGGUGGAAGAGGUGCUGGAGUGUAACCACGAUUGUCACUCCCACACUCUGCACCCUCCCCCCAACCCAGUGCCAAGCUCAGCAUGUCCAUUAUACGCUCACACGUGUUCAAUCUAUCAGAACCUUCCCUGGGUUUCUGCCUUGUUGCCCCAGGGCCAGCUCUCCUAGAAUAGUGAGAAGUGGGUAAGUGGGAGGCAGAGGUAGACACCACAGCCCACCUGGUCCCUCCAACCUCACCUUCCCGAGCAGUCAGCAUCUGUGAUAAGCUGGGCACUGAGCAAAAGAAAGCCUUGGAGAAGCCCACAGGCUGGCUACCAAAACAAGGUGUAUGGGAGCAGAUACUGCCUUGCAGAAGUUCUCUUGUUGGUAAGGGUCAUGGAAACCAUUGCACCUUGUGAGGCUUGUGCUCUAAGCAAUUGCCAGUUUACAAGGAGACUAUCACCUUUUGGUGAGCAAGUUUUCCUCUAAAUUAGUUAAUGCUUGAGACCUUAAAUUAUAAGCAUGAGUGGCCAUUAUUGGGACCUGCUGAUGCCCAGGGCACACUUUGGCCCAAGUAGUAAGCAAGACUAGCAUAUCCCCAGUGGCAGAGCCAGCCUGUUCCAGGCUUCAUGGCCAGUAGGUAUCAAGUAGCUGCAAGUGGAAGAACUUAAACUUGAGAGGACAGUUGUGAGUUCACGUGAGGAAAGUCUGGGGGCUCCUGGGAAUGACCAGGUGAGACAACAGCAGAAGACUCCUGUGGUGAGCAGCAGGAGGCAGAGGCCAUGAAAUCUGAGUUACUACUGUCACUGGGAACUUAUUUUGCCUAACAGCUAGUGUGGCCCCAAGAAACACAGGUAACAGCAGAACGUCCUGAAAGUGACAGCCAAGAAAAUGGAUUUCAGAGCAUACAUGGAACACCUCUGGGGGCUCCCAGAACAAGUGCACAACCCACAUGGGCAAAGUCCCUUGCACACCCCAGCGUCUGAUGCUGAGUCGGAAGCAGAGGGCUCCCAGCAUUUGUCCGCCACAUCUCAGAAAUGUGAUAUGGGGAUUAUACAAAUAAUUUGAUUCUUCUUUCCCACCCUUGGUAAGAACACAAAAGGACUUGCCAGGGAGUCCUCCGCUGUCCUUGUGGGAAAUUCCCAAAGCCCAAAAUGGGCUCCUGUCUGGCUGAGCCUGAGCCAGGUUCUGCUCCACCCCACCCCCAUCCCUUCAGGUCCCUGGAAUGAAACUGUGGGCAGAGAGAUGAUUCCCUGGCCAUGCCCUGCAACCUAAAAUAACCAGGAAAAUUCUAGAGAACCCAGCUGACCUGAAGGCAGCCCAGGGGUUAGAGAGAGAGGGAGGGGCUAGCUGCAGCUUACACUCCCACAGACACCAAGGCAGGCAGGAAAGUGAAUGAUGGAGAAAACAAAAUGCUUGUUUUCAUCGUCUACACUAGUCUGGGCAUGUCUACUUCAUAUGGACUCACAAAUCCUACAUAUGAUUGUAAUCAUCUGAACGACGUUCUGAACAUGUUGAGAAUCUUGGCAGUUCAGGAGGUUCAAGAAGGCAUUAGGAAAAGAUGUUAUUCCUAACCCGUUUCAUACUAGAUCCUAAAAUGUUCUUGUUCGUUCUUGCUAAAACUAGAUAUCCGGGGCUCAACCUGGACCUGCGUUAAAGUCAGAAUUGAGGAGUGGACACCAGCAAACGGAUGUAGAAGUGUGCUCACAUCCCCUUCGUCAACUGCAAUCUCGUUUAAGGCCCUGGGGUCUCCUGGAAGGGAAGUUGGAAUCACGGGGCCACAUGGCAUUCCCUGGAGUCCUCCCCACCCUGUAGUGUCACCAGCCAGCCAGCACCAUCACAGGUGGCCCCAUCUUACCUCAGGUAAUGAGAGUGCUCUCAAGGCUGGGCCACGUCACCUGCCUACGCAGGAUGGAGCUGGAGUGUGCCUUUUCUGACCAUGGUAGUCUCCGUCGACUCCGAGUUGAGGGCCUGUCACACAGUCACUCACUCACUCUGUAGAUUGAAAUCUGGGCCUCAAUUCCUAUAGAACAGGCUACCCCUCCUCCCUGACAGCACAAUCUAAAAAGAGCAGCAAGGUAGUGGGUUCCACAUUC
rnacentral:lncRNA from 1 species